CUACGUGCCAGCAGCCGCGGUAAUACGGAAGGUCCAGGCGUUAUCCGGAUUUAUUGGGUUUAAAGGGAGCGUAGGCGGAUUGUUAAGUCAGCGGUUAAAGGGUGUGGCUCAACCAUGCAUUGCCGUUGAAACUGGCGAUCUUGAGUGCAGACAGGGAUGCCGGAAUUCGUGGUGUAGCGGUGAAAUGCUUAGAUAUCACGAAGAACUCCGAUCGCGAAGGCAGGUGUCCGGGCUGCAACUGACGCUGAGGCUCGAAAGUGUGGGUAUCAAACAGGAUUAGAUACCCUGGUAGUCCACACAGUAAACGAUGUAUACUCGCGGUUUGCGAUAGAUUGUAAGCCGCCAAGCGAAAGCAUUAAGUAUACCACCUGGGGAGUACGCCGGCAACGGUGAAACUCAAAGGAAUUGACGGGGGCCCGCACAAGCGGAGGAACAUGUGGUUUAAUUCGAUGAUACGCGAGGAACCUUACCCGGGCUUAAC
rnacentral:rRNA from 1 species